CCUAGAUAAGGAAAUGGCAACCCAUUCCAGCAUUCUUGUCUAGGAAAUCCCAUGGACAGAGGAGUCUGGCAGGCUAGAGUCCAUAGGGUCACAAAGAGUCAGACACAACUUAGCAACUAAACCACCACCACCACAACUUCUCUACCUCAGGAAGCAGAGCUCACUUACUCUGACAUCAAAGACUUUCUUUGGUGACUUGUAAAAUUGCAGGGUCUUAUUCCUGAGAUAACCAUCAUUAGCAAACACCGUGGAAGAGCAUUAAGGAUAAUGCCAUAGAACACUCUCGUUAAAAUGUGACCUUUUCAUUUUUGCUUCAAAUCUGUUUUAUUUGCUCAAUAACAACAACAAAAUAAUUAUGUAAAAAACAUUUUAAUUUUCAAAAUUUUAUAAUUCUUUUUAGAGGUCUUUAUCUACUCACCUGUGAAUAUGGCAUUUGAUCUUGGCAGCAGUCUGGGGCAAUAGGUAACUUGGUUAUUCCCAUUUUGCAGCUGAGCAUAUGAAAGCUGAAUACCUUCUCAAAUCCACACAGCUGAGACGGCACUGACCUGUGACUCUGCCUGAUGCCUUUCCAUUGCCUCAAGCUGGGGAAGCCGGGCCAUCAGAGUGUAUAAUUUUCCUUCUGUUCCAUCAAAUGAGAGGUGGCAGUUUAUCUGGUCCUCAUAGAAUUGCCGCUAUAAGCCAGAUGGAAGUAAUACAUCAAAAGGGAAAAAAGAGCCUUAUGUGACCCUAACUUGGUUCUCCGGGAAUGGCGUAACCUGGCCUCGAUCCCAAAAAGGUGAAAGAAAAUAUUUUUCAAAUUGCUAGUGGCUGUUCGCAUUUGAGGUCCAUUUAGUUCAGUUUUUUUUUUUUUUUUUUUUUUUAAGAAAAAUGAAUUGUGAUCCGUGUGUGUAAAGGGUGCCUGUCUCUGUGUGGUUCGUGUCCUGGUGUAUGUCCAGCUAUCUUGUCACACUGCCCUUGAGCUUUUCUUCAGUUGAGAACAGAUCUGGAAUGGUGCCCCUACAACGCCGAAGGAUAUGAGGCCUGCCCUUCACGGGACAGGGCGGGACUUCUAAGGGACACGGGUCAGAAGCG
rnacentral:lncRNA from 1 species